rnacentral:rRNA from 1 species
UGGGGAAUAUUGCACAAUGGGCGCAAGCCUGAUGCAGCCAUGCCGCGUGUAUGAAGAAGGCCUUCGGGUUGUAAAGUACUUUCAGCGGGGAGGAAGGGAGUAAAGUUAAUACCUUUGCUCAUUGACGUUACCCGCAGAAGAAGCACCGGCUAACUCCGUGCCAGCAGCCGCGGUAAUACGGAGGGUGCAAGCGUUAAUCGGAAUUACUGGGCGUAAAGCGCACGCAGGCGGUUUGUUAAGUCAGAUGUGAAAUCCCCGGGCUUAACCCGGGAAUUGCAGCUGAGACUGGUCAGCUAGAGUCUUGUAGAGGGGGGUAGAAUUCCAUGUGUAGCGGUGAAAAGCGUAGAGAUGUGGAGGAAUACCGGUGGCGAAGGCGGCCCCCUGGACAAAGACUGACGCUCAGGUGCGAAAGCGUGGGGAGCAAACAGG